AAACAUAGCCAUACCUGACGAUG
rnacentral:snRNA from 1 species